UACGUAGGGUGCGAGCGUUAAUCGGAAUUACUGGGCGUAAAGCGUGCGCAGGCGGUUUGUAAGCCAGAUGUGAAAUCCCCGGGCUCAACCUGGGAAUGGCAUUUGGGACUGCAAGGCUGGAGUGUGGCAGAGGAGACUGGAAUUCCUGGUGUAGCAGUGAAAUGCGUAGAUAUCAGGAGGAAUACCGAUGGCGAAGGCAGGUCUCUGGGCUGACACUGACGCUCAUGCACGAAGCGUGGGAGCGAACAGG
rnacentral:rRNA from 1 species